rnacentral:rRNA from 1 species
GACGAACGCUGGCGGCGUGCUUAACACAUGCAAGUCGAACGGAAAGGCCCUGCUUUUGUGGGGUGCUCGAGUGGCGAACGGGUGAGUAACACGUGAGUAACCUGCCCUUGACUUUGGGAUAACUUCAGGAAACUGGGGCUAAUACCGGAUAGGAGCUCCUGCUGCAUGGUGGGGGUGGAAAGGUUCGGCGGGUGGGGCUGGACUCGCGGCUUAUCAGCUUGCUGGUGGGGUGGUGGCUUACCAAGGCUUUGACGGGUAGCCGGCCCGAGAGGGUGACCGGCCACAUUGGGACUGAGAUACGGCCCAGACUCCUACGGGAGGCAGCAGUGGGGAAUAUUGCACAAUGGGCGGAAGCCUGAUGCAGCAACGCCGCGUGCGGGAUGACGGCCUUCGGGUUGUAAACCGCUUUCGCCUGUGACGAAGCGUGAGUGACGGUAAUGGGUAAAGAAGCACCGGCUAACUACGUG